rnacentral:sRNA from 1 species
UAGCUCAGUUGGUAGAGCAGUUGACUUUUAAUCAAUUGGUCGCAGGUUCGAAUCCUGCACGACCCACCAAUCAUUCGGUGGAAACGAGAAUAAAACGUGAAGGAUAACGUUGCUUUAGCAACGGCCAGAAGGGCGAGGCGAAGCCGAGUCAUCCUGCACGACCCACCA